rnacentral:rRNA from 1 species
CGGUCGCAAGAUUAAAACUCAAAGGAAUUGACGGGGACCCGCACAANCGGUGGAUGAUGUGGAUUAAUUCGAUGCAACGCGAAAAACCUUACCUACCCUUGACAUGUAUGGAACCUGGCUGAGAGGCUGGGGUGCUCGAAAGAGAGCCAUAACACAGGUGCUGCAUGGCUGUCGUCAGCUCGUGUCGUGAGAUGUUGGGNUAAGUCCCGCAACGAGCGCAACCCUUGUCCUUAGUUGCUACGCCAAGAGCACUNUAGGGAGACUGCCGGUGACAAACCGGAGGAAGGUGGGGAUGACGUCAAGUCCUCAUGGCCCUUAUGGGUAGGGCUUCACACGUCAUACAAUGGUCGGANCCAGAGGGCUGCCAACCCGCCGAGGGGGAGCUAAUCCCAGAAAACCGAUCGUAGUCCGGAUCGCACUCUGCAAACUCGAGUGCGUGAAGCUGGAAUCGCUAGUAAUGCGCUGGAUCAGCAUG